rnacentral:rRNA from 1 species
UUAACAAAAACAUGUCUUUUUGAGUUAUUUUUAAAGUCUGACCUGCCCACUGAAAUUAUUUAAAUGGCCGCAGUAUUCUAACUGUGCAAAGGUAGCAUAAUCAUUAGUCUUUUAAUUGAAGGCUGGUAUGAACGGUUGGACGAGGUACAAGCUGUUUCAUAUAAAUUUAUAAUAGAAUUUUAUAUUUUAGUCAAAAAGCUAAAAUUUAAUUAAAAGACGAGAAGACCCUAUAAAUCUUUAUACUUUAUGUUGUUUAAAUUUUUUAGAUUAGUUUUAUUUUUAUAAUUUAAAGUAUUUUGUUGGGGUGAUAUUAAAAUUUAAUGAACUUUUAAUUAUUAAAAAUCAUUAAUUUAUGAACUAUUGAUCCAUUAGUAGUGAUUAUAAGAUUAAGUUACUUUAGGGAUAACAGCGUAAUUUUUUUGGAGAGUUCAUAUCGAUAAAAAAGUUUGCGACCUCGAUGUUGGAUUAAGAUAUAUUUUUAGGUGUAGCCGCUUAAAUGUUAAGUCUGUUCGACUUUUAAAUUCUUACGUGAUCUGAGUUC